AGAGUUUGAUCCUGGCUCAGGACGAACGCUGGCGGCGUGCUUAACACAUGCAAGUCACGGGGGCCCGCAAGGGUAACCGGCGAACGGGUGCGUAACACGUGAGCAAUCUGCCUAGAUGUGGGGGAUAGCCGGCCCAACGGCCGGGUAAUACCGCAUACGUUCCAUGGGGGGAGUCCCCUGUGGAGGAAACCUCCGGGGCA
rnacentral:rRNA from 1 species